UACGGAGGAUGCAAGCGUUAUCCGGAAUGAUUGGGCGUAAAGCGUCCGCAGGUGGCUGUGUAAGUCUGCUGUCAAAGAGCAAAGCUCAACUUUGUAAAGGCAGUGGAAACUACACGGCUAGAGUGCGUUCGGGGCAGAGGGAAUUCCUGGUGUAGCGGUGAAAUGCGUAGAGAUCAGGAAGAACACCGGUGGCGAAAGCGGGUUGCUGGGCUGACACUGACGCUGAUGCGCGAAAGCUAGGGGAGCGAACGGG
rnacentral:rRNA from 1 species